GAUGAACGCUGGCGGCGUGCCUAAUACAUGCAAGUCGAGCGAACAGACGAGGAGCUUGCUCCUCUGACGUUAGCGGCGGACGGGUGAGUAACACGUGGAUAACCUACUUAUAAGACUGGGAUAAUUUCGGGAAACCGGAGCUAAUACCGGAUAAUAUAUUGAACCGCAUGGUUCAAUAGUGAAAGACGGCUUUGCUGUCACUUAUAGAUGGAUCCGCGCCGCAUUAGCUAGUUGGUAAGGUAACGGCUUACCAAGGCAACGAUGCGUAGCCGACCUGAGAGGAUGAUCAGCCACACUGGAACUGAGACACGGUCCAGACUCCUACGGGAGGCAGCAGUAGGGAAUCUUCGGCAAUGGGCGAAAGCCUGACGGAGCAACGCCGCGUGAGUGAUGAAGGUCUUCGGAUCGUAAAGCUCUGUUAUUAGGGAAGAACAAAUGUGUAAGUAACUAUGCACGUCUUGACGGUACCUAAUCAGAAAGCCACGGCUAACUACGUG
rnacentral:rRNA from 1 species